rnacentral:lncRNA from 1 species
CUCUGACUUCUUUUUGAGAAUAAUAAAUGUACUUAUAAUAUAAAUGACUGUUACUGUGCUUACUCUAGAUUGCAGUUGCAAGCAUUCCUAUUUGAUACCGGAAGGUGCUGUUGUCAUCUUUGUGUAUUUAUUUCUCCAUUGUUUACAGAUAAGGAAACUGAGGAAUGGAGAGACGAAAUGUCUUGUCCAUGGUCAUCACAGCUGCUACCACGGAAGCCCUAGUCUGGCAGGAAAGAAGAGUCAUUAGGCAUCAUCUGGCAACUUGGCUUGGAGAAGUCAGAUCAGUCACCAAGAGUCUGGUGGGGCUGCAGCAAUGGCUAGAAAGAACCAGUGACAUGAUUGCCAGCCCAGCUUGAGCUCUGCUUCAGAUAAUUUAAGAUGUACCAGGUGGCACUUCAGGCUAGAAAACUCUGUGGUCUCCCAGCAACUUAAAGGAAGAUGAGGGUAAGGAAACUGAAAUAUGACAAGGUUAAAUGAUUCAGAUGAGGGGCCGGAAAGCACGCCUCCCGAGACCCAUUCCUGGAAGCGGGUCUUUAAAGCUGCUCUCAGUUUAAAAUCAACCAAAUGCUCAGAUAUCAGAUGCGGAAACUGAGGCACAGGGAAUUUGAACAACUUGCUCAAGGUCAUAAAGCUAGAAGGAGGCACAGCCAAGCAUGGGCUUGUGUGACCUCAAAGCCUAUGUUCUCGCCACUGCUCUAAACUGUUUAUUCUGUUGGCUUGUCAUAAUGAUUGAAGACAAUGUAUAUAAAUCACAGAGGGUAGGACUCAGCUUGUAAUAUGUCCUCCAUACAUUUUAUCGAACAUUAUUAAUUAAUAAACAACAGAUAAAUAACAACAGUGCUUUGUUUGAUUAAAUUAUAUAUAUGAUUAUAUUUCUUCAGUGAAAUUGUUGGUUAUGCAUUUCUUACAAAUAAUUCACAAAUAUUAAUGAAUGUCUGUGUUGCAGCAGGCAUUUUGCUCACCACGGUGGACCUGGGGGUAUGUGAAAUAGGCACCAUCUCUGCUCUCACAAAUUUAAUACGUGCAGGCUGCUGGAUUGGACUAAAGUCCUGAGGAGAACUAUAACAAUCUCUUAGAGGGAACAGUGAUUAAACAGGGAUCAAUUGUGCCACCCAUAUAGCCUUCCUACUUACUGAUCAAGAAUGAUAGCAGACCUUAGCAAGUGCAAAUCAACAAGAGGAAUCCAAUGGUGCUAUUCACUACUAUGAAGCUUUUCAUUUUGCCUCUUACUAAGAUUUCAAAGCUAUUCUUGCCCCCCACCCCACACAAAAACAAAUACUGUGCAAUCUCACUUACAUGUGGAAUCUGAAAAAGUUGAACUCGUAGAAGCAGAGAGUACAAUAGUGGGUGCCAUGGGCUGGGGGUGGAGGAAAUGGGAGAUGAUAGUCAAGGGUACAAACUUUCAGUUAUAAGAUGAACAAGUUCUGGGGCUCUAAUGUACACGAUGGGUGGUGAUGAAUGUUUUAAUUAAUUUGAUUAUUGUAAGAAUUACACAAUGUAUACAUUUAUCUAAUCAUCAUAUUAUAUACCUU